rnacentral:rRNA from 1 species
GACGAACGCUGGCGGCGUGUUUAACACAUGCAAGUCGAACGGAAAGGCCCUGCUUUUGUGGGGUGCUCGAGUGGCGAACGGGUGAGUAACACGUGAGUAACCUGCCCUUGACUUUGGGAUAACUUCAGGAAACUGGAGCUAAUACCGGAUAGGAGCUCCUGCUGCAUGGUGGGGGUUGGAAAGUUUCGGCGGUUGGGGAUGGACUCGCGGCUUAUCAGCUUGUUGGUGGGGUAGUGGCUUACCAAGGCUUUGACGGGUAGCCGGCCUGAGAGGGUGACCGGCCACAUUGGGACUGAGAUACGGCCCAGACUCCUACGGGAGGCAGCAGUGGGGAAUAUUGCACAAUGGGCGGAAGCCUGAUGCAGCAACGCCGCGUGCGGGAUGACGGCCUUCGGGUUGUAAACCGCUUUCGCCUGUGACGAAGCGUGAGUGACGGUAAUGGGUAAAGAAGCACCGGCUAACUACGUG